UACGGAGAGUGAUAACGUUGUUCGGAAUUACUGGGCAUAAAGCGCACGUAGGCGGUUCGCUAAGUCGGUCGUGAAAGCCCCCGGCUCAACCGGGGAAUUGCGAUCGAUACUGGCAAGCUAGAGAACGGUUGGGGUGAGUGGAACUCCAGGAGGAGCGGUGAAAUGCGUAGAUAUCUGGAGGAACACCGGUGGCGAAAGCGGCUCACUGGACCGUCACUGACGCUGAGGUGCGAAAGCUAGGGGAGCAAACGGG
rnacentral:rRNA from 1 species